GUCACAGCUCGCCUGUGCCGCCAUGUGAAACUCAACAGAGAGAUGGGGAGAAUGAGCUGGAGUAAGAACACCCUUCCUUUGUGGUCUGCUGCUAGCAUUCAAUUUAUUCGUAAGGAGCAACAGAGGGAAGGCUGAAGAAGCACAUGAAAUCUGACGCUCCUGCAGGAGACAAAGGCUAGAUCUGUGUCAGUCAUCAGAGAAUGGUGGCCUGGGAUGAGAACUCAGAUGACAACUUCUUCCCAAGAUGGAAGCCACAGAAUCCUCAAAUGACUGUGACCACACAGAAUGAAGUAUAAAAGAAGAAAAGGGGAAGGAUUGCCAUAGUCUCUUAUUCUCUGUGUGUUGACCAGUUUGUGGGUCAGGACAGUACAGUGGCACAUAGGAACUCACAGCAGCAGGAACUACACAUACACACGCACAUGCACACACACACACACACACACACACACACACACACACACACACACACACAUGAGCUCAAGCCAACUCACAAUGCCAGCAUGAAUCACGGAGGGGCUCAUGAAGAUCCACCUCUAUCUGAAGAGCUGCUGACAACUGACAGCUGCAGGGGAAGGGAGAAGAGAAGCAGUCUCUUCAGAGAUGUGGGCCCUGGGAGGCUCUCCAAGUCCAGCAGAUGGUCCUAUAAUCCUGCACACAAAGGUAGCAGUAAAGAGACCCAGUAGGUAUUUUUAAAACAGGUCAUAUCAAGUGAGGAAGAAAACAUCAUGGUGGGGAGUGGAGGGGGCAGUUGAAGAGGGG
rnacentral:lncRNA from 1 species